GAACACGCGUCCAUGUGUGCUACCAUCGUGGGAAACCAACACCACCAGCAAAACCAGACACAAACAAUUAAUUCCCUGGAUUUUGCUGCUCCUUCUCAGGGCCAUAAGUGGGAGAGGAAGCUGGAGGUUGUCUUUGAAGACAAGAAUUCACAGAGCUUGGAAUCCCAAGAGGCAAGAGGCAAAGGGGGAGUCUGAAGCAAAACAGAAGCGAAGUUGCUCAGCCAACCGAGUUCAUCAAGUCUGUGGUGGAGCUUGGACCUGAAUGCACUGGCUUCCAGUGAAGUGUCUUAAUGCCUAGGUACCUGCAGACUUCCAACUGUCACAGAGCUGAAGACAAGGUGGAAAAUGUGACCUGGGUGGCAUUUGCCUGAUUGUGCAGCCUGUCGACAAAAAAGCUUCAACAAAUGCAAGCUGUUCCCCUUCCACUGAAGGUAACAGAGACGUGCAUGGGAGCACCAUGUAAGUUCUCCCUGGAACUUGGUUUUGCCAGAAUCUAUUUAGUCAAGAAACAAAACCCACUGAUGACCCUCGUAUCAGUGGAUCAGCCUCUCAGAUGUCCAGCUUAGUGUUGCUUCUGAG